GCUGGUUUGGUUGAUAAUUUGAAGCGUGUUUAUCAAGCUUUCUCUAAAACUGUGUUUAUGUGACAUACUCAGUUUAUUUGAAAAAAUUGUAUUUCAGGAAGAACAACCUUGAAUGUGGAGAGUUUUAGCUGCUAUCACAAUAUCUACAAUUUUGAAGAUCAACAUCCGAUCAAGGCAACAUGACAAGUGAUUGAUAUCAUCAUUGAGUAGUAAAGGCUCAAC
rnacentral:lncRNA from 1 species